rnacentral:rRNA from 1 species
GAUGAACGCUGGCGGCGUGCCUAAUACAUGCAAGUCGAACGCGCAGCGAGAGGUGCUUGCACCUUUCAAGCGAGUGGCGAACGGGUGAGUAACACGUGGAUAACCUGCCUCAAGGCUGGGGAUAACAUUUGGAAACAGAUGCUAAUACCGAAUAAAACUUAGUAUCGCAUGAUAUAAAGUUAAAAGGCGCUACGGCGUCACCUAGAGAUGGAUCCGCGGUGCAUUAGUUAGUUGGUGGGGUAAAGGCUUACCAAGACAAUGAUGCAUAGCCGAGUUGAGAGACGUGUCGGCCACAUUGGGACUGAGACACGGCCCAACCUCCGACGGGGGGCUGCAGUAGGGAAUCUUCCACAAGGGGCGCAAGCCUGAUGGAGCAACGCCGCGUGUGUGAUGAAGGCUUUCGGGUCGUAAAGCACUGUUGUAUGGGAAGAAAUGCUAAAAUAGGGAAUGAUUUUAGUUUGACGGUACCAUACCAGAAAGGGACGGCUAAAUACGUGCCAGCCGCCGCAGUAA